GGUAAGAGCCCACCAGCGAUCGAGGUGACUCGGUCGGCUUGGUAAACCCCAUUUGGAGCAAGGCCGAGCAGAGGGGAGUCCGACGUUCGCGUCGGCGCGUCGCGGCCCGUGACGUUUUCACCCUCGGGUAGGCUGCUGGAGGCCUGGAGCAAUUCAGGUCCUAGAGAAAUGACCGUCGCCGCGUUGGCGACAACGCGGAACAGAACCCGGCUUAUCAGUCGACUCGCCCC
rnacentral:RNase_P_RNA from 1 species